CCUACGGGAGGCAGCAGUGAGGAAUAUUGGUCAAUGGGCGUAAGCCUGAACCAGCCAAGCCGCGUGAGGGAUGAAGGUUCUAUGGAUCGUAAACCUCUUUUAUAAGGGAAUAAAGUGUGGGACGUGUCCUAUUUUGUAUGUACCUUCUGAUUAAGGAUCGGCUAACUCCGUGCCAGCAGCCGCGGUAAUACGGAGGAUCCGAGCGUUAUCCGGAUUUAUUGGGUUUAAGGGGUGCGUAGGCGGCCUUUUAAGUCAGGGGUGAAAGUCUGUGGUUCAACCAGAGAAUUGCCGUUGAAACUGGGGGGCUUGAGUACGUUUGAGGCAGGCGGAAUGUGUGGUGUAGCGGUGAAAUGCUUAGAUAUCACGCAGAACACCGAUUGCGAAGGCAACCUGCGAAGCCAUGACUGACGCUGAUGCACGAAAGCGUGGGGAUCAAACAGGAUUAGAUACCCCAGUAGUC
rnacentral:rRNA from 1 species